GUGGAUUAGAUACCCUGGUAGUCCACGCCGUAAACGAUGGGUACUAGGCGUCGGGGGGAGCGACCCUCUCGGUGCCGUCGCUAACGCAGUAAGUACCCCGCCUGGGGAGUACGGCCGCAAGGCUGAAACUCAAAGGAAUUGACGGGGGCCCGCACAAGCGGUGGAGCAUGUGGUUUAAUUCGAAGCAACGCGAAGAACCUUACCUGGGCUUGACAUGCACGGGAAAGCCGGUGGAGACAUCGGCCCCUCUUCGGAGUCCGUGCACAGGUGCUGCACGGUUGUCGUCAACU
rnacentral:rRNA from 1 species